rnacentral:rRNA from 1 species
CACCGGCGGCUCGAGUGGUAACCGUUAUUAUUGGGUCUAAAGGGUCUGUAGCCGGCCGGAUAAGUCUCUUGAGAAAUCCAGCAGCUCAACUGUUGGGCUUUCAGGAGAUACUGUUCGGCUCGAGGCCGGGAGAGGUGAGAGGUACUUCAGGGGUAGGGGUGAAAUCUUGUAAUCCUUGAAGGACCACCAGUGGCGAAGGCGUCUCACCAGAACGGACCUGACGGCAAGGGACGAAAGCUAGGGGCACGAACCGG